GACGAACGCUGGCGGCGUGCCUAAUACAUGCCAGUUGAGCGAUGAAGCUUGGUGCUUGCACCAAUUUGAAGAGCAGCGAACGGGUGAGUAACGCGUGGGGAAUCUGCCUUUGAGCGGGGGACAACAUUUGGAAACGAAUGCUAAUACCGCAUAACAACUUUAAACAUAAGUUUUAAGUUUGAAAGAUGCAAUUGCAUCACUCAAAGAUGAUCCCGCGUUGUAUUAGCUAGUUGGUGAGGUAAAGGCUCACCAAGGCGAUGAUACAUAGCCGACCUGAGAGGGUGAUCGGCCACAUUGGGACUGAGACACGGCCCAAACUCCUACGGGAGGCAGCAGUAGGGAAUCUUCGGCAAUGGACGAAAGUCUGACCGAGCAACGCCGCGUGAGUGAAGAAGGGUGUCGGAUCGUAAAACUCUGCUGGUAGAGAAGAACGUUGGUGAGAGUGGAAAGCUCAUCAAGUGACGGUAACUACCCAGAAAGGGACGGCUAACUACGUG
rnacentral:rRNA from 1 species